rnacentral:lncRNA from 1 species
GAGACUAAGGUGUCAGUAUGUUCUUCAAGCUGCUCUGCUCCUGGGCCCAAGCUAUUCUCCUGCCUCAGCCUUCCAAGAAGCUGAAACUACAAGAACACAAGACUGUACCUGGCUUGCAAACACCAUUGCUAAUAAGAAGAUAUUGUAAGACUGAUACCUAAGAGAUAAGAGGCCCUCCCUCCGUUGCCCAGGUGGGAGUGCAGUGGUGUGAUGUCAGUUCACUGCAACCUUGGCCUCCCGGAUUCAAGCGAUUCUCCUGCCUUAACCUUCCGAGUAGACAUGGAUCCCUGAGGUCGGUCCCCAAUACGACAAGACAAUUUGAUAUCAUAAUAGAACACUGCAGAAACAAUGCUGAGUGAAGAAGAGUAGAAAUGGGAAGACUUGGUUGAGCGGAAACUGAGUUCUUGAAAAGAGGAGAUGCUUGAUGAGGGCAUGGAUCCCUGAGGUCUGCCCCAGUACUAUAAGACAAUUUGAUGUAAGAAAACACAGCAGAUAUAAUACUGAGUGAAGAAGAGUAUAAAUGAGAAGAUUGGUUGUGCAGAUACUGAGUUCAUGAAAAGAGGAGAUGAUUGAUGAGGCCAGGUGCGGUGACUCAUGCCUGUAAUCCCUGCACUUUGGGAGGCUGCGGCGGGCGGAUCACCUGAGGUCAGGAGUUCGAGACCAGCCUGGGAGACAGAGCAUGGAAACCUAAGGUCUGUACCCAAAACUACAGGACUAUUUGACAUCAUAAUAAAACACUGCAGAUAUGAUGCUGAGUAAGAGUAGAAAUGGGAAGACUUGGUUGUGCAGUAACUGAGUUCUUGAAAAGAGGAGAUGCUUGAUGAGGGUGAGUGGAUUACAUCACUGUUUAAUA